rnacentral:rRNA from 1 species
AGCUCUAAUAGCGUAUACUAAAGUUGUUGUGGUUAAAACGCUCGUAGUUCAAUUCUGAGGGGGUAUGAUGCUCUGUGUGCGCAAGCUCACGGGGAUAGUGCUCUUAAUAAUAAGUCGGUUUAACUGCUUGCUGAUCUUAACUGAUUGGCUUGUGGCGGCUGACCAUUUACUUUGAAUAAAACAGCGCGUUUAAUGCAAGCAAACGUCUGAAUGAAACAGCAUGGGAUAAUAGAACAGGGGGUGCGGAGUUACUAACCGCAUCUAAUGAUAAAUAGAGUUUGUCGGGGGUGUUCAUAUUGCGCGGCUAGAGGUGAAAUUCUUGGACCCGUGCAAGAUGUACUAAAGCGAAAGCAUUCAUCAAGGAUGCUCUCA